rnacentral:rRNA from 1 species
CCUACGGGUGGCAGCAGUGGGGAAUAUUGCACAAUGGGGGAAACCCUGAUGCAGCGACGCCGCGUGAAGGAAGAAGUAUUUCGGUAUGUAAACUUCUAUCAGCAGGGAAGAAAAUGACGGUACCUGACUAAGAAGCCCCGGCUAACUACGUGCCAGCAGCCGCGGUAAUACGUAGGGGGCAAGCGUUAUCCGGAUUUACUGGGUGUAAAGGGAGCGUAGACGGCAGUGCAAGUCUGAAGUGAAAGCCCCGGGCUUAACCCGGGAACUGCUUUGGAAACUGUACGGCUGGAGUGCUGGAGAGGUAAGCGGAAUUCCUAGUGUAGCGGUGAAAUGCGUAGAUAUUAGGAGGAACACCAGUGGCGAAGGCGGCUUACUGGACAGUAACUGACGUUGAGGCUCGAAAGCGUGGGGAGCAAACAGGAUUAGAUACCCUUGUAGUC